rnacentral:rRNA from 1 species
AUUGAACGCUGGCGGCAGGCUUAACACAUGCAAGUCGAGCGGUAACAGAGAGUAGCUUGCUACUCUGCUGACGAGCGGCGGACGGGUGAGUAAUGCCUAGGAAUCUGCCUAGUAGUGGGGGAUAACUUGCCGAAAGGUAAGCUAAUACCGCAUACGUCCUACGGGAGAAAGGAGGGGACUCUUCGGAGCCUUUCGCUAUUAGAUGAGCCUAGGUCGGAUUAGUUAGUUGGUGAGGUAAUGGCUCACCAAGACCGCGAUCCGUAACUGGUCUGAGAGGAUGAUCAGUCACACUGGAACUGAGACACGGUCCAGACUCCUACGGGAGGCAGCAGUGGGGAAUAUUGGACAAUGGGGGAAACCCUGAUCCAGCCAUGCCGCGUGUGUGAAGAAGGUCUUAGGAUUGUAAAGCACUUUAAGUUGGGAGGAAGGGCAGUUAACUAAUAUUUGACUGUUUUGACGUUACCGACAGAAUAAGCACCGGCUAACUUCGUGCCAGCAGCCGCGGUAAUACGAAGGGUGCAAGCGUUAAUCGGAAUUACUGGGCGUAAAGCGCGCGUAGGUGGUUCGUUAAGUUAGGAGUGAAAGCCCCGGGCUCAACCUGGGAAUUGCUUCUAAAACUGGCGAGCUAGAGUAUGGUAGAGGGUGGUGGAAUUUCCUGUGUAGCGGUGAAAUGCGUAGAUAUAGGAAGGAACAUCAGUGGCGAAGGCGACCACCUGGACUAAUACUGACACUGAGGUGCGAAAGCGUGGGGAGCAAACA